rnacentral:rRNA from 1 species
ACACAUGCAGUCGAGCGANGCGUGANUCUCAGAAGCUUGCUUCUAUGACGUUAGCGGCGGACGGGUGAGUAACACGUGGGCAACCUGCCUGUAAGACUGGGAUAACUUCGGGAAACCGAAGCUAAUACCGGAUAGGAUCUUCUCCUUCAUGGGAGAUGAUUGAAAGAUGGUUUCGGCUAUCACUUACAGAUGGGCCCGCGGUGCAUUAGCUAGUUGGUGAGGUAACGGCUCACCAAGGCAACGAUGCAUAGCCGACCUGAGAGGGUGAUCGGCCACACUGGGACUGAGACACGGCCCAGACUCCUACGGGAGGCAGCAGUAGGGAAUCUUCCGCAAUGGACGAAAGUCUGACGGAGCAACGCCGCGUGAGUGAUGAAGGCUUUCGGGUCGUAAAACUCUGUUGUUAGGGAAGAACAAGUACGAGAGUAACUGCUCGUACCUUGACGGUACCUAACCAGAAAGCCACGGCUAACUACGUGCCAGCAGCCGCGGUAAUACGUAGGUGGCAAGCGUUAUCCGGAAUUAUUGGGCGUAAAGCGCGCGCAGGCGGUUUCUUAAGUCUGAUGUGAAAGCCCACGGCUCAACCGUGGAGGGUCAUUGGAAACUGGGGAACUUGAGUGCAGAAGAGAAAAGCGGAAUUCCACGUGUAGCGGUGAAAUGCGUAGAGAUGUGGAGGAACACCAGUGGCGAAGGCGGCUUUUUGGUCUGUAACUGACGCUGA